UACGUAGGGGGCAAGCGUUGUCCGGAUUUAUUGGGCGUAAAGAGCGUGUAGGCGGCCAAACAGGUCAGCUGUGAAAAACUCGAGGCUCAACCUCGAGACGUCGGUUGAAACCGUUUGGCUAGAGUCCGGAAGAGGAGAGUGGAAUUCCCGGUGUAGCGGUGAAAUGCGCAGAUAUCGGGAAGAACACCCGUGGCGAAGGCGGCUCUCUGGGACGGUACUGACGCUGAGACGCGAAAGCGUGGGGAGCGAACAGG
rnacentral:rRNA from 1 species